GCAAUCAUCGUCUAGAGGCCUAGGACAGCUCCCUGACACGGAGAAAACGCGGAUUCGAAUUCCGGUUGGCCGUA
rnacentral:tRNA from 1 species